GUAAACAAUUUAUUCAAAUUUCCAUUUCUUAUUUCUGAUUCUCAUUUCACUCAUAACAAAAUUGAAUAUACUUUUCUCUUACAAUCUUGGUCUAAUUGUCCUUUACCCUUCCCCACAAAUAAAUUUUAUGGGUAUAAAUCUUAUAGUUUCAAUUGUUGAUGUAAAUAAACAUAUUAAUAUUUUGGUCUAUUAUUUUAAGUUUGCAAAAAAUUAAUUUGAAAAGAAAAGGUAGGAAAUAAUAGCUGGAGAAAAAUGGAAGACAAGAUGAUGAGAAAAGUAAGUUUAGUUACAACAAAAACAUGCGGGAUUACAACAAGCAGUUGGCUGAUGUAAUCAAAGCUGCUGAGGAAAAUGAAUCUGCAAACCCAAGUCCGAAGUGAACGAUGAGGAAGAUGAUGUCAAGAGAAUAGCCGUGAAGGGUUCAAAAGUUGAGUUUGCGUUAAAAUCCAUAAUGUAAUACGUGGCUGUGUCAAAGAGUUUGAACAGAGCGAGGAAAUUGGUAAAGGAGUCUAAUUACAUGUAUGCCCUUAAAUUUAAUCGUAGACUCCUAACUUUAAGCGCACCAAUGCGUGCGGAGCUCAGAAAAAUAGCAUGGCCAAUGAAACUUUAACACGUAUGGGGGGAAUCAGAUUUUUGCAAUUAUAUUACGAUUGGGUGUUGAAAGGAUACUUACGGGUAGAGUUGGUAAAAUGAGUCAUCGGAUCGUGUUCGUGUCGUGUUAAAUUUAGGUCAAUUUAAAUCUGACCCAUUUAAUAAUCGUGUCAAAAUAUUGAGACCCAAACCCGACACGAAAAAAUAAUCGGGUUAUCCAAUAACCUGUUUAAUAUCUAUAUAUUGAAUAAAAGUUACAUCAAAUAUUUACACACUAUCAUACAUACAUAUGUACAUACAUACAUAUAUAAUUUAUCGAUAUUAUAAAAUAUAUAUAUCGACCAAUAUAUUACACAUUUACACUAUUGAGG
rnacentral:lncRNA from 1 species